UGGGGAAUAUUGCACAAUGGGCGAAAGCCUGAUGCAGCGACGCCGCGUGAGGGAUGACGGCCUUCGGGUUGUAAACCUCUUUCGACCAGGACGAAGCGUAAGUGACGGUACUGGUAGAAGAAGCACCGGCUGACUACGUGCCAGCAGCCGCGGUAAUACGUAGGGUGCGAGCGUUGUCCGGAAUUAUUGGGCGUAAAGAGCUCGUAGGCGGUUUGUCGCGUCGACUGUGAAAACCUGGGGCUUAACUCUGGGCCUGCAGUCGAUACGGGCAGACUUGAGUUCGGUAGGGGAGACUGGAAUUCCUGGUGUAGCGGUGAAAUGCGCAGAUAUCAGGAGGAACACCGGUGGCGAAGGCGGGUCUCUGGGCCGAUACUGACGCUGAGGAGCGAAAGCGUGGGGAGCGAACA
rnacentral:rRNA from 1 species